AUAACUAAGCGGAGGAAAAGAAACUAACCAGGAUUCCCCCAGUAACGGCGAGUGAAGCGGGAAGAGCUCACGUUGUAAAUCUGACUUCGGUCCGAAUUGUAGUCUGGAGAGGCGUGACCAGCUGGAGUCGGGGGCGAAGUCUCUUGGAAAAGAGCAUCAAGGAGGGUGACAAUCCCGUUCUUCCCCCGCGCUCCACGCGUACGGUCCGUUUUCUACGAGUCGAGUUGCUUGGGAUUGCAGCUCAAAGCGGGUGGUAAAUUCCAUCUAAAGCUAAACACGGGUGGGAGACCGAUAGCGAACAAGUACCGUGAGGGAAAGAUGCAAAGAACUUUGAAAAGAGAGUUAAAGAGUGCCUGAAAUUGCUGAAAGGGAAGCGAAGGAAACCAGUGUCUGGCGGUUCCGCUUCUCCUUGGCCCCUCGGGGCCUUGGUUUGCGUUUCCGCCGUGGCCAGGGCCGGGUAGUGUUGCGGGAGCCUGCGCUUCGGAAGGUAGCAUCUCUUCGGAAUGUGAAGACCGUGGCGUGUCGUCGCGACGCUGGCUGGUUCUGACGAAAUGGUUUUCUUUAC
rnacentral:rRNA from 1 species